rnacentral:rRNA from 1 species
CAGUCGCCGCGGUAAUACGAAGGGGGCUAGCGUUGUUCGGAAUUACUGGGCGUAAAGCGCACGUAGGCGGAUAUUUAAGUCAGGGGUGAAAUCCCAGAGCUCAACUCUGGAACUGCCUUUGAUACUGGGUAUCUUGAGUAUGGAAGAGGUGAGUGGAAUUCCGAGUGUAGAGGUGAAAUUCGUAGAUAUUCGGAGGAACACCAGUGGCGAAGGCGGCUCACUGGUCCAUUACUGACGCUGAGGUGCGAAAGCGUGGGGAGCAAACAGGAUUAGAUACCCCAGUAGUCCCUGUCUCUUAUAC